UAAUACAUCGGAACGUGCCCGAUCGUGGGGGAUAACGCAGCGAAAGCUGUGCUAAUACCGCAUACGAUCUACGGAUGAAAGCGGGGGAUCGCAAGACCUCGCGCGGACGGAGCGGCCGAUGGCAGAUUAGGUAGUUGGUGGGGUAAAGGCUCACCAAGCCAACGAUCUGUAGCUGGUCUGAGAGGACGACCAGCCACACUGGGACUGAGACACGGCCCAG
rnacentral:rRNA from 1 species